ensembl:lncRNA
CCAAGAUGGAGCCGAGGGCUGAGUCAGGAACAUUCCAGUCCUAGUGUCUUGGAAAGGGGUCUGAGGAGUUCCCCAAAGAUCACCAACUCACCCUCAGAACUGAGGAUCCAACCUCAGGACCUUGGGCUUGCCAGAAUGGAGCAACUGAGAGUCAACUUGACAGGCCCCAAAGGAUUCAUGAACCAUAACUGGAUGUAUUGCUCAAGGAUCUGCACAUCUAAAGGACUGUGAUUUUGAUGCUUUCCAUUAUAAGGAAUUACAAAAAUCAUCUGAAUUUAUCAUAUCGGUUCUGGAAUUUUCUAACUACUGUAUAGUCUAAUGCUCUAGGAAUAUGUUUUGGGAUUAUUUUUUAUUAAAGUAAAAUUUGUUAGUCUUUAUCAUUGUUUCAUUUGGCAUGUAGGAAACAUGAGACAAGAAGGCUAAGAGGAAAUCUGUUAGGUUAAGAUCUUCUAUGGAAAAUUGAUUUAACCUAGUCUCUGUCUUCUUGAGUGACAGUCACAUGAUUUAUGCUAUUACUUCAUAAUGAAAGAUUUAGAAAAGGUAAAAAGGAAAAGUGUCUAGACAAAACUUUUGAGUUCUCUGCUCUGAUGAUCUUUGAGUUGGAGUAUAAUGUAAGGCAGCCUGUCCAGAAAACUUUGAAUUCUGUGAUGCAUUUUUUUUUUAACUUGUGUUACAUUUUAUUGCUUGCAUAUUUCAUGGUGAAAUGAACAGACUCAGAAGACUCAUGGUCUGUGUCAAACACUAACUUGCUGCAUGGAUUAGAUAUGUUGGUUAAACUUGCUGAACCCUUAUUUCCUCAUCUGAAAAUU